AACGAACGCUGGCGGCGUGGAUAAGACAUGCAAGUCGAACGGGAUUUUUUUCUGUAGCAAUACAGGAAAAAGUCUAGUGGCGAACGGGUGCGUAACACGUGAGCAACCUGCCGUGAAGUGGGGGAUAGCUCGCCGAAAGGCGAAUUAAUACCGCAUGUGGCCAAGGAAGACAUCUUCCUGACGCCAAAGCCGGGGCAACCUGGCGCUUCUCGAGGGGCCAGCGGCCUAUCAGCUUGUUGGUGAGGUAACGGCUCACCAAGGCUAUGACGGGUAGCUGGUCUGAGAGGACGACCGGCCACACUGGAACUGAGACACGGUCCAGACACCUACGGGUGGCAGCAGUCGAGAAUUUUUCACAAUGGGGGAAACCCUGAUGGAGCGACGCCGCGUGGAGGAUGAAGGUUUUCGGAUUGUAAACUCCUGUCAUUAGAGAACAAGGCACACGGUUUAACUGGCCGUGUGUUGAUAGUAUCUGAAGAGGAAGAGACGGCUAACUCUGUGCCAGCAGCAGCCGCCG
rnacentral:rRNA from 1 species